rnacentral:rRNA from 1 species
UGGAGCAUGUGGUUUAAUUCGAUGAUACGCGAGGAACCUUACCUGGGCUCAAAUGUAUGUUGACGUAUUCUGAAAGGGAUACUUCUUCGGACAAUAUCAAGGUGCUGCAUGGUUGUCGUCAGCUCGUGCCGUGAGGUGUCGGGUUAAGUCCCAUAACGAGCGCAACCCCUAUCAUUAGUUGCCAUCAGGUCAAGCUGGGGACUCUAAUGAAACUGCCUACGCAAGUAGUGAGGAAGGUGGGGAUGACGUCAAGUCAUCAUGGCCCUUACGGCCUGGGCUACACACGUGCUACAAUGGUCGGUACAAAGGGUUGCCAAGCCGCGAGGUGGAGCUAAUCCCAUAAAACCGAUCGUAGUCCGGAUCGCAGUCUGCAACUCGACUGCGUGAAGUCGGAAUCGCUAGUAAUCGUGAAUCAGAAUGUCACGGUGAAUACGUUCCCGGGCCUU